GUCCUGUUCUUAGUUGGAAGAUUGUAGAUUGUUCUUUGCUGGACAGUAUUAACUUCCUCCCCCGCAAAGAACAAUCUACAAUCUUCCAACUAUGAACAGGAC
rnacentral:pre_miRNA from 1 species